UUUUUUAACAAAUUAAUGUAAUUUCUCAAGAUUUAGCCAUAACGUCCAGGUCGAGAUUGGGGUGUUACACACACAACCAUGUGGCACAGAUGGUCUAGUAGUUUGGCUUUCUAUCGGUCGCGAUUUUUCAGGUUUUCAUUGCACACCUGGGUUUUUUUUAGACGAAUUCAAUCUCGAGAUUUCCAAAACCUAAAAACAACAUUUACCCAACUAAUUAGCAACGAAUUACUAAUUUCCAACUAACUCUUUUGAUUAAAAAGAAUGCUACAUAGCCAUCACUAAACUGAAAAUCAACCCCGUUUUUAGGUGUUCAGUCACUUACCCAAACGAAACACCCACCACACGCACUUAAUUUGUUGGAGAAUUAACCACUCCCUGACAGUCACC
rnacentral:lncRNA from 1 species